rnacentral:rRNA from 1 species
GGAUUACGACUAACUCCAAACCCAAUGUGAACGUUACCAAACUGUUGCCUCGGCGGGAUCUCUGCCCCGGGUGCGUCGCAGCCCCGGACCAAGGCGCCCGCCGGAGGACCAACCAAAACUCUUUUUGUAUACCCCCUCGCGGGUUUUUUUAUAAUCUGAGCCUUCUCGGCGCCUCUCGUAGGCGUUUCGAAAAUGAAUCAAAACUUUCAACAACGGAUCUCUUGGUUCUGGCAUCGAUGAAGAACGCAGCGAAAUGCGAUAAGUAAUGUGAAUUGCAGAAUUCAGUGAAUCAUCGAAUCUUUGAACGCACAUUGCGCCCGCCAGUAUUCUGGCGGGCAUGCCUGUCCGAGCGUCAUUUCAACCCUCGAACCCCUCCGGGGGGUCGGCGUUGGGGAUCGGCCCUGCCUCUUGGCGGUGGCCGUCUCCGAAAUACAGUGGCGGUCUCGCCGCAGCCUCUCCUGCGCAGUAGUUUGCACACUCGCAUCGGGAGCGCGGCGCGUCCACAGCCGUUAAACACCCAACUUCUGAAAUGUUGACCUCGGAUCAGGUAGGAAUACCCGCUGAACUUAAGCAUAUCAUAGGCCCGGGAGGAA